GACGAACGCUGGCGGCGUGCCUAACCCAUGCAAGUCGAACGGGGCGGCGGACUUCGGUCCAAAGCCUAGUGGCGGACGGGUGAGUAAUGCGUGAACAACCAACCUUGUACAGGGGGACAACAGCUGGAAACGGCUGCUAAUACCGCAUAAGACCACAGGACCGCAUGGUCCAGGGGUCAAAGGAGCAAUCCGGUAUAAGACGGGUUCGCGUUCCAUUAGCUAGUUGGUGGGGUAAUGGCCUACCAAGGCUGCGAUGGAUAGCCGAGCUGAGAGGCUGAUCGGCCACACUGGGACUGAGAUACGGCCCAGACUCCUACGGGAGGCAGCAGGGGGGAAUAUUGGGCAAUGGGGGAAACCCUGACCCAGCAACGCCGCGUGAAGGGAAGAAGGCCUUCGGGGUUGUAAAC
rnacentral:rRNA from 1 species